rnacentral:lncRNA from 1 species
CGUUUACGCAUUUAUCUGUCUGCUAUUUUCACGAGAUAUUAUUCUCUUCUUUUUAUUUUUAUUUCUUCUAAUCUUAUUUCUUCUAAUCUUUUUUGAAUAUGCUUUCACCAUUUUAUGCUCUUUUUCGAAUAUACUUUCACCAUUUUAUACUCUUAUUUAUCUAACAUUUUUGCGAGAUUUUAAUUCCCGUAGAACGACUAUUUAAUUCCUUUUAAUUCUUAUAAAACAUAGCCUUUAUUAUUACGAAUUUUGCUUUCAUAUGAACCUUGGUGAUUGGUCUGGCUGCCAAGGUUGGUCUGGCUUGACUGCCUUCGCGCUCCUUCAAGUCCUAUUUGGCCAUAAAACCAGAUUUUAGUUGGUCUGACCGUCUUUUUUGCUUUCAUAUAAAACAUAGCCUUUAUUAUUACGAAUUUUGCUUUCAUAUGAACCUUGGUGAUUGGUCUGGCUUGACUGCCUUCGCGCUCCUUCAAGUCCUAUUUGGCCAUAAAACCAGAUUUUAGUUGGUCUGACCGUCUUUUUUGCUUUCAUAUGAACCUUGGUGAUUGGUCCGGCUUGACUGCCUUCGCGCUCCUUCAAGUCCUAUUUGGCCAUAAAACCAGAUUUUAGUUGAUCGGUCAGUCUUACGCGACACAUUAUGAGCCUACGUCAUAUUAGCCCGAGCCUCUUCAAUAUGGGCUGCUGUGUGCUGACUGUCCAAGACUCAUUAGUCAUCAAUAUUUUUUUAUAAUUUCUAUAAAAAAAUGAAUAGAAAUUUUUUUACUCCAAAAAUAUUAAUAGACUUUUAUUAAUUAAAAAUUCUAUUGAUAAGCCCUCACAACCCAACUUUGAUUCUAUGAAGAAGUACACAAGAAUAUCACUAGACAACAAUUAGCCAGCAGAUAUCCAUUAGGGAGUAGCUAUCUAAUUACACAACACAAGGGUGAUAAGACUAGCAGAAUAAGCUUACAAAAGGAAGAAAUAAGAGAUAAUACUGAAGUUUUUCGUUGUGAUUUCUGAUUACUACUUCAUAUCUAUGAAAACAAGAAAACAAGAAAAAAAGGGGAAAAANNNNN